GACUCUCGGCAAACGGUAUCCGGCUCACGCAUCGAUGAAGAACGUAGCAAAAUGCGAUACUUGGUGGAAUUGCAGAAUCCCGUGAACCAUCGAGUUUUGAACGCAAGUUGCGCCCGAAAGCCAUUCGGUUGAGGGCACGUCUGCCUGGGCGUCC
rnacentral:rRNA from 11 species